CCUAGUCUCAACCAUAAACGAUGCCGACCAGGGAUCGGCGGAUGUUGCUUAUAGGACUCCGCCGGCACCUUAUGAGAAAUCAAAGUCUUUGGGUUCCGGGGGGAGUAUGGUCGCAAGGCUGAAACUUAACAGAAUUGACGGAAGGGCACCACCAGGCGUGGAGCCUGCGGCUUAAUUUGACUCAACACGGGGAAACUUACCAGGUCCAGACAUAGCAAGGAUUGACAGACUGAGAGCUCUUUCUUGAUUCUAUGGGUGGUGGUGC
rnacentral:ncRNA from 1 species